UAGGGAAUCUUCGGCAAUGGACGAAAGUCUGACCGAGCAACGCCGCGUGAGUGAAGAAGGUUUUCGGAUCGUAAAACUCUGUUGUUAGAGAAGAACAAGGACGUUAGUAACUGAACGUCCCCUGACGGUAUCUAACCAGAAAGCCACGGCUAACUACGUGCCAGCAGCCGCGGUAAUACGUAGGUGGCAAGCGUUAUCCGGAUUUAUUGGGCGUAAAGCGAGCGCAGGCGGUUUCUUAAGUCUGAUGUGAAAGCCCCCGGCUCAACCGGGGAGGGUCAUUGGAAACUGGGAGACUUGAGUGCAGAAGAGGAGAGUGGAAUUCCAUGUGUAGCGGUGAAAUGCGUAGAUAUAUGGAGGAACACCAGUGGUGAAGGCGGCUCUCUGGUCUGUAACUGACGCUGAGGCUCGAAAGCGUGGGGAGCAAACAGG
rnacentral:rRNA from 1 species